UACGUAGGUGGCAAGCGUUAUCCGGAAUUAUUGGGCGUAAAGAGCUCGUAGGCGGUCUGUUGCGUCUGCUGUGAAAACUCGGGGCUUAACCCCGAGCCUGCAGUGGAUACGGGCAGACUAGAGGUAGGUAGGGGAGAAUGGAAUUCCCGGUGUAGCGGUGAAAUGCGCAGAUAUCGGGAGGAACACCGGUGGCGAAGGCGGCUCACUGGCCCGAUACUGACGCUGAGGCACGAAAGCGUGGGGAGCAAACAGG
rnacentral:rRNA from 1 species